rnacentral:rRNA from 1 species
UUGGAGGGCAAGUCUGGUGCCAGCAGCCGCGGUAAUUCCAGCUCCAAUGGCGUAUAUUAAAGUUGCUGCAGUUAAAAAGCUCGUAGUUGAAUUUCGGGACCAUCAUGUCGGUCGUGCCUCGGUACGUACUGGUAUUGUUGGUUUCUCCCUUCUGACGAACCAUGAUGUCAUUUAUUUGGUGUUGUGGGGAAUCAGGACUGUUACUUUGAAAAAAUUAGAGUGUUUAAAGCAGGCUCACGCUUGAAUACAUUAGCAUGGAAUAAUGAAAUAGGACGUUUGAUUCUAUUUUGUUGGUUUCUAGGAUCGACGUAAUGAUUAAUAGGGAUAGUUGGGGGCAUUAGUAUUCAAUUGUCAGAGGUGAAAUUCUUGGAUUUAUUGAAGACUAACUACUGCGAAAGCAUUUGCCAAGGAUGUUUUCAUUAAUCAAGAACGAAAGUUAGGGGAUCGAAGACGAUCAGAUACCGUCGUAGUCUUAACCAUAAACUAUGCCGACUAGGGAUCGGAUGAUGUUAAUUUUUUAAUGACUCAUUCGGCGCCUUACGGGAAAC